rnacentral:lncRNA from 1 species
CGCCUCUGCCUGCUGGGGGCCGUUCCCUGGGCUCGCCCCUCCAGCCGGGCUGUCAGCCCAGUGGGUGACCUCGCGUGGGACAGGUUCUGACUUCCUCACCUGGACACAGUCUCCGUAGGUGGGAGGCCUGCGGCUGCCACAUCAUGGCCGUGGGACCUGUGGACGCCCCCCACCCCCGCCAUGCCCGGUUUCCCAUAUGAAGCAGCCCAUCAGGGUGAUGAGACUACUGUACAGGCGGACAGGGGCCCUGGGAAGGGCCUGCCAGGUCCCCUUGCUGUGAGGGGACCGCCUCCGAGGGCCUCCUGGACAGCCAGCUGCGGCAAGGACUUUCUUGGCCUUACGUUGUGAGCUCACCCCCAGCCUCAGGUCGGGAAGUGGGCUCUUCCUUCAAGCAGGCACGGCUCCUGGGUAGCACUGCCCAGUGGUGGCCCCCGUGCAGACAGGGAUGUGGUAGAAAACAGACUCUCCCAGGGUGUUGGGACUAAGCACCUAAGAGAAACGACACCAAAAGAAAGCCAAGGACCCUCGCUUCCCAGGCUCCCCAUGAGGUUGGCCUUGGAGUCCCCGGAGCUGCUGCUGUGCCCUGAUGGGCCCCCCAGUUCCCCAAGCAGCCUUCCUGCUGAAGUGCUGAGGAGUUUGCUGUCACCCUGACCUUCCAUUAGUGUUCCCCAUACAAUCCCAUAACUAAGGUAACCUGCAAAGAUAACUGAGUUCCCUGUAGUUUGAAGUGGCCAAAGGAUGCAAAGAGCAGCACAUGGUAUGGAUCAAAUAGAUAGUAGCCGAUUCUAUUAGGUAAAGAAAAUGUCAACUUAAAGAGAAUGACUACUGGAGACAUUAGGGUGCCCUCUCUCAUCCACUCUUCCUCUUCUACAGUAGCACCCCCUAGUGUUUGGCUGCAGUUGGUUCAAAGGUAACAGAUGCCAUAAGGUGUACAGUCAGUGAGGUUGGGGACUUCUGUUUAGUUAAAGAUAACAUUUCUUUCAUUUGAUGUGAUUAAACAAACACAGAAGCUCGGAUUGCUGCUGUCAGAAUUUGCCACUACAGUAGAAGGCAGGCUGAGAACAAAUUGCUAAGAGGAAAAAGGAAGGACCAAGACCACCACGGAGGAGUCCAGGUCCACUGACGAUCAGUGAGUCUAAUUCAUUUUGGUAAGUGAGUCAGUUAGCAUUGGGAUUUGCUGUUUCAUGUAAUAGUGUAAAUAACUGGGAAAGAACAGUUUUACACUUUGAAAAAAAAUGAUCUCUUAACAGUGAGACUAAGAAGAUGCUUAUAAAGCUGCACAUUGUACACCUUCCCUAUAGAACUAGGAAAAAAAUCUCAAUUAUUUAGAAAAUUAACUCCUAAAAGCCACCAAAAUUUUUUAAUAUUUUUAUAACAGAAAGUACUAUAAAAGAAGAGUGGAUAAAUGUUUUGGCAGACUGUAUUCAAAGCCUAAGAUGGAAAGUGAAAUUUCUCCUAUCUUAUCUCUACCUGUAAGUUGCCCUUCAUUUAGCAAGAAACCCGUGGACACUUAAUUGAAUCUAUUAAGUAAUUCAUGUAGAAAAAUACCAAAGGACCAGAACUGAAGGGCACUAGUGAUUUCUUUC